CGCGCAGGCGGCUUGGCAAGUCGAGUGUGAAAUCCCUUGGCUUAACUAAGGAAUGGCGCUCGAAACUACCUCGCUAGAGGACGGGAGAGGGAAGUGGAACUCUCGGUGUAGGGGUGAAAUCUGUAGAUAUCGAGAGGAACACCGGUGGCGAAGGCGGCUUCCUGGCCCGUAGCUGACGCUGAGGCGCGAAAGCGUGGGGAGCAAACA
rnacentral:rRNA from 1 species